rnacentral:rRNA from 1 species
GGAGUCUAGCAUGUGCGCAAGUCAUUGGGAAUGUACUAAACCUAAAGGCGCAAUGAAAGUGAAAGUUCGUCUUGCACGAACCUAGGGAGGAUGGGCCGUGUCAAAGCGGCUCCGCACUCCCGGGGCGUCUCGUUCUCAUUGCGAGAAGAGGCGCACCCAGAGCGUACACGCUGGGACCCGAAAGAUGGUGAACUAUGCCUGGUCAGGACGAAGUCAGGGGAAACCCUGAUGGAGGUCCGUAGCGAUUCUGACGUGCAAAUCGAUCGUCGGAACUGGGUAUAGGGGCGAAAGACCAAUCGAAUCAUCUAGUAGCUGGUUCCCUCCGAAGUUUCCCUCAGGAUAGCUGGCGCUCGAAUGAGCGAGUCUCAUCUGGUAAAGCGAAUGAUUAGAGGCAUUGGGGUCGAAACGGCCUCAACCUAUUCUCAAACUUUAAAUGGGUGAGAACUUGGGCUUGCUUAAAUAAUGAAGCCCGAGUUAUAAUUAUGAUAAUAAUAAGGAUCAGAGUGCCAAGUGGGCCACUUUUGGUAAGCAGAACUGGCGCUGUGGGAUGAACCAAACGUAAAGUUAAAGCGCCUAAAUCGACGCUUAUGGGAUACCAUGAAAGGCGUUGGUAACUUAAGACAGCAGGACGGUGGCCAUGGAAGUC